UACAGAGGUCCCAAGCGUUGUUCGGAUUCACUGGGCGUAAAGGGUGCGUAGGUGGCCAGGUAAGUUCGGUGUGAAAGCUCGGAGCUUAACUCCGAAAUGGCAUUGAAUACUAUCUGGCUAGAGGUUCGGAGGGGAGACUGGAAUUCGUCGGUGUAGCAGUGAAAUGCGUAGAUAUCGAGAGGAACACCAGUGGCGAAGGCGGCUUGCCAGAACGCGCUCGACGGUGAGGGAUGAAAGCUGGGGGAGCAAACCGG
rnacentral:rRNA from 1 species